AGGCUGUUAGGCAAAUCCGGCAGCGUAAUUCAAGGGCAUGGGACGAACGAAUUUAUUCGUGAAGCAAUCGGAAGUGGUUCCAAGAAAAGCCUCUAAGCUUCAGUCUAACGAGACCGUACCGCAAACCGACACAGGUGGGCGAGAUGAGUAUUCUAAGGCGCUUGAGAGAACUCGGGAGAAGGAACUCGGCAAAUUGGUACCGUAACUUCGGGAUAAGGUACGCCCUUGUAGUUUGACUACUUUACUGUAGAAGGACGAAGGGGUUGCAAUAAACUGGUGGCUGCGACUGUUUAAUAAAAACACAGCACUAUGCAAACACGAAAGUGGACGUAUAUGGUGUGACUCCUGCCCGGUGCUGGAAGAUUAAAUGAUGGGGUGCAAGCUCUUGAUUGAAGUCCCAGUAAACGGCGGCCGUAACGAUAACGGUCCUAAGGUAGCGAAAUUCCUUGUCGGGUAAGUUCCGACCUGCACGAAUGGAGUAACGAUGGCCACACUGUCUCCUCCCGAGACUCAGCGAAGUUGAAAUGUUUGUGAUGAUGCAAUCUACCCGCGGCUAGACGGAAAGACCCCAUAAACCUUUACUGUAGCUUUGCAUUGGACUUUGAACCAAUCUGUGUAGGAUAGGUGGGAGGCUUUGAAGCGGGGACGCUAGUUCUCGUGGAGCCAACCUUGAAAUACCACCCUGGUUUGUUUGAGGUUCUAACCUUGGUCCGUUAUCCGGAUCGGGGACAGUGCAUGGUAGGCAGUUUGACUGGGGCGGUCUCCUCCCAAAGUGUAACGGAGGAGUUCGAAGGCACGCUAGGUACGGUCGGACAUCGUGCUAAUAGUGCAAUGGCAUAAGCGUGCUUAACUGCGAGACUGACAAGUCGAGCAGGUACGAAAGUAGGACAUAGUGAUCCGGUGGUUCUGUAUGGAACGGCCAUCGCUCAACGGAUAAAAGGUACUCUGGGGAUAACAGGCUGAUUCCUCCCAAGAGUUCAUAUCGACGGGGGAGUUUGGCACCUCGAUGUCGGCUCAUCACAUCCUGGGGCUGUAGCCGGUCCCAAGGGUAUGGCUGUUCGCCAUUUAAAGUGGUACGUGAGCUGGGUUUAAAACGUCGUGAGACAGUUUGGUCCCUAUCUGCCGUGGGCGUUGGAAAUUUGAAGGGGGCUGCUCCUAGUACGAGAGGACCGGAGUGGACGAACCUCUGGUGUACCGGUUGUCACGCCAGUGGCAUUGCCGGGUAGCUAAGUUCGGAAGAGAUAACCGCUGAAAGCAUCUAAGCGGGAAACUUGCCUUAAGAUGAGAUUUCCCAGAGCCUUGAGCUCUUUGAAGGGUCGUUCGAGACCAGGACGUUGAUAGGUCAGGUGUGGAAGUG
rnacentral:rRNA from 1 species